GGGUUUAAGUAGUUAUUGAGAUAUUACAGGUCAGGGUUUUAGUAGGUAUUGAGAUAUUACACGUUUUAGUAGUUAUUGACAUAUUACAUGUCAGGGUUUUAGUAGUUAUUGAGAUAUUACAGGUCAGGGUUUUAGUAGUUAUUGAGAUAUUACAGGGUUUUAGUAGUUAUUGAGAUAUUACACGUUUUAGUAGUUAUUGAGAUAUUACACGUUUUAGUAGUUAUUGAGAUAUUACAGGGUUUUAGUAGUUAUUGAGAUAUUACAGGUUUUAGUAGU
rnacentral:lncRNA from 1 species